rnacentral:rRNA from 1 species
UACGGAGGGUGCGAGCGUUGUCCGGAAUCACUGGGCGUAAAGGGCGCGUAGGCGGCUUGGUAAGUAGGGGGUGAAAUCCUGCGGCUUAACCGCAGGGCUGCCUUCUAAACUGCCAGGCUUGAGCACAGUAGAGGCAGGUGGAAUUCCUGGUGUAGCGGUGAAAUGCGCAGAUAUCAGGAGGAACACCGGUGGCGAAGGCGGGUCUCUGGGCCGAUAUUGACGCUGAGGAGCGAAAGCGUGGGGAGCAAACAGG